UUCGAUAUUCCCAAAAAAGGGGGAUAGACGUCGACAUUCGGCAAGGAAUUCGAUGCCUUCAAAAGAGAAGGACAUGAUCGACAUUCCGCAGAAAAUUGAGUUCGAGAUUCCCAAGAAAGGGGGAUAGACGUCGACAUUUACCAAGGAAUUCGAAACCUUCAAAAGAAGGUCAGGAUCGACAUUCCACACUACUCUGAUCGACAUCCUCAGAAAAAGAUGAGAUCGACUUUUUUAGGCAACAUCGACAUUUCCAGGGAGAAAUGAGAUCGACUUGUUGUCAAAAAUCCGACAUCUUCAGAAAAGGAUCGGCAGUCAUCGACAUCCUCAGAAAAAGAUGAGAUCGACUUUUUUAGGCAACAUCGACAUUUCCAGGGAG
rnacentral:lncRNA from 1 species